GACGAACGCUGGCGGCGUGCUUAACACAUGCAAGUCGAGCGGUAAGGCCCUUUCGGGGGUACACGAGCGGCGAACGGGUGAGUAACACGUGGGUGACCUGCCCUCAGCUCUGGGAUAAGCCUGGGAAACCGGGUCUAAUACUGGAUAUGACUCCAUGACGCAUGUUGUGGGGUGGAAAGCCUUGUGCGGCUGAGGAUGGGCCCGCGGCCUAUCAGCUUGUUGGUGGGGUGAGGCCUACCAAGGCGACGACGGGUAGCCGGCCUGAGAGGGCGACCGGCCACACUGGGACUGAGACACGGCCCAGACUCCUACGGGGAGGCAGCAGUGGGGGAAUCUUGCGCAAUGGGCGAAAGCCUGACGCAGCGACGCCGCGUGAGGGAUGACGGCCU
rnacentral:rRNA from 1 species